GCCCGGUUAGCUCAAUCGGUAGAGCGUGAGACUCUUAAGAGGGACACACGUUCUGAUACAAUCUCAAGGUUGCGGGUUCGACCCCCGCAUUGGGCU
rfam:Trichoderma atroviride IMI 206040 TRIATcontig_27, whole genome shotgun sequence.